rnacentral:lncRNA from 1 species
ACUUUGGCUUAGAGCAGGACUCAGCAAAGUAUAGCCCUGGGGCCAAAUUUGGCCUGCCAUCUCUUUCUUUCUUUCUCUUAAUUUAAAUUGUAUUUUUUGAAUCGGUAUUAUAUGCAAAUGGUACAACAUGCAAAAGAUAAAAAUGAAUAUACAGUUGAAAGUAACUCUCCCUCUUCCUAACUUCCAACUAUCCAGUUUCCUUCCUCAGCUGCAUCCACUCUUGCUGGAUUCCUAUGCUGCAGGAGAUGGUGCGUCCAUGUCUGUCUGCACCUGGAUGGCAUCGCCUCUCCAUCUCGAGGACGCCAUCUGGAGGGGGCAGGGCAGGGUGGCUGAUCCCCUGCAGGCCCCAGCCCUGUGACUCAGCCACCAAAGCCCAAUCUCCAGCCCAAGGGAACCAAGGGUAUCUUCUUCAUCAUCCUUCCAGUCCUCUUCCCCUUCGCCGGGCUCCAGCCUCAGCUUGGCCCUCACCUCCACUCCUCUCCCCUCUCACCCCUGCCCCCAUUCCACUUCAUCUCCCUCCCUCACCUUAGGGCACCUCUGCCUGCUCCUUAUGCUGGAGUUGAUUUUCUACAAUCUCAACUCAGCCAAGAGAUCUCAUCACCUAAAAAAGUGAUGUGAACCUUAAGAUCACAUAUGUCAUAUGGGGGUGAAGGUGGGGGUGGGAGGCACUAAGGGCAGGGCAGCAGGUGGGUCAGCCCCAGGUGCUGGCAAUAGAUGGGGGUCCAGGUCAGCAGAGAACCUAAAAACAAUAAAGCAACUGAUUAGCCCGUC